CAAGGAGUUGUCAGGCAUACCUUGAUGAGAUAACACCCCAAUGACAAAAAACUCUUAAAAUCAUCUACAACGCAACACACUGUCUCUCAUCAAUAGUUUAGUAUCUAUACAAUAUACAAAGAUAUAAUUUGCCAUGAAUACAGAACAGUUGUGAAUAAAAUUAAAUAGAAACAUCAUAGAUCUGUCAUUAACACAAAAUUCUCAUAACAAUAAAAACUACUGUUUGCCUGCAUUGCUGAAAAAUAAACAAACACAGAAAAAACAGCGAAAUAACUGGUACUUCUAACUUAAAAUUAUCUUAUUGUUGUUUAUCCAAAGAAAAAAAAAAGAACAGAAGCAGUGAUUAAAGGAAACAAAAGAACAGAAGCAGUGAUUAAAUGAAACAAAAGAAAACAAAGGAAAAAGAACAGAAGCAGUGAUUAAAGGAAACAAAAGAACAGAAGCAGUGAUUAAAGGAAACAAAAGAACAGAAGCAGUGAUUAAAGGAAACAAAAGAACAGAAGCAGUGAUUAAAGGAAACAAAAGAACAGAAAGCAGUGAUUAAAGAAACAAAAAGAACAGAAGCAGUGAUUAAAGGAAACAAAAAGAACAGAAGCAGUGAUUAAAGAAACAAAAAAGCAGAAGCAUGAUUAAAGGAAACAAAAGAACAGAAGCAGUGAUUAAACGGAAACAAAAGAACAGAAGCAGUGAUUAAAGGAAACAAAAGAACAGAAGCAGUGAUUAAAUGAAACAAAUACAAUUACAAACAUCACCAAUAAAUAAACAGCCAGAGAGAGUGAUUUGGGGGAAAAGUUUUGAACUUGUUAACUUGGUGUUUUGUUUUUAAUGUUAGAAGUGUAAUUAGACCCUUCUAACUAAUUUGGUUUGUACUCUGUUUGUCUGUCCAUCUAUCAGUUUUCCACACUUUUUUUCUUCGUGCUUGAAGAUAUUUGAUUUGAUAUUUGUUGUUUUGUUUUAUCAUAAGCUACAGAUCAAGUUCGUAUAUUGUUCCUGUUAGAUGAUUUAAUGCAGACUCACAAGCACAACAUUUGAUGUGGUUAAACCAGUUUAUUAUACUUGAGCACACUUGCAAGCACAAUAUUUGAUGUGUUAAACCAGUUUUACAUGAGCACACUUGCAAGCACAAUAUUUGAUGUGUUAAACCAGUUUUACAUGAUCACAUUCACAAACAACAUUUGAUUUGGUUAAACAAGAUUUACUUGACACAAAUAUCACAAGCACAACAUUUAAUGAGGUUAAACCAGUUUUACUUGAGCACACUUACAAGCACAACAUUUGAUGUGGUUAAACCAGUUUUAUUUGAGCACACUCACAAACCCAACAUUUGAUGUGGUUAAACCAGUUUUAUUUGAGCACAAGCAUAACAUUUCAUGGUGUUAAACCGGCUAUACUUCAGUAAUCUCACAGGUGUAACAUUUGAUGCGAAUAAACCAGUUUUACUUUAGCACAAUCACAAGCCCAACACUUCCUGUGGUUAAAACAGUUAUCUUUGAGCACACUCACAAGCCCAACAUUUGAUAUGGUUAAACCAGUUUCACUUCAGCACAUUCACAAGCACAACAUUUCAUGUGGUUAAAACAGUUUUACUUGAGCACACUCACAAACACAACAUUUCAUGUGGUUAUCCAGUUUUACUUCAGCACAACAUUUGAUGUGGUUAAACACGUUUUACUUGAGACACUCACAAGCCCAAUAUUUGAUGAGGAUAAACCAGUUUUACUUGAGCACAUCACACAAGCACACCAUUUGAUGUGGUUAAACUAGUUUCAUUUGAGCAAUCUCACAAGCACAACAUUUGAUGUGGUUAAACCAGUUUUACUUGAGCACCCCACAAGCACAACAUUUGAUGAGGAUAAACCAGUUUUACUUCAGCACAUCGCACAAACACAACCUUUGAUGUGGAUAAACUAGUUUUACUUGAGCACACUCACAAGCACAACAUUUGAUGUGGUUAAACCAGUUUUACUUAAGCACAUUCACAAGCACAAAAUUUGAUGUUUAUAAACUAGUUUAACUUGAGCACACUCACAAACACAACAUUUGAUGUGGUUAAACCAGUUUUACUUGAGCACAUUGUCAAGCACA
rnacentral:lncRNA from 1 species